ensembl:snRNA U6 U6 spliceosomal RNA
GUGCUCGCUUCCACAGCAUAUAUACUGAAAUUGGAACGAUACAGAGAAGAUUAGCAUGGCCCCUGCACAAGGAUGACACACAAAUUCACAAAGCGUUCCAUAUUUUC